GACGAACGCUGGCGGCGUGCCUAACACAUGCAAGUCGAACGGGACCGGGGGCAACUCCGGUUCAGUGGCGGACGGGUGCGUAACACGUGAGGAACAUGACCUUCGGCGGGGGAUAGCCGGCCCAACGGCCGGGUAAUACCGCGUACGACCUUUCGGGGACAUCCCUGGAUGGUGAAAGCAGCAAUGCGCCGAUGGAGUGCCUCGCGGCCUAUCAGCUAGUUGGUGGGGUAACGGCCUACCAAGGCGACGACGGGUAGCUGGUCUGAGAGGAUGGCCAGCCACAUUGGGACUGAGACAAGGCCCAGACUCCUACGGGGGGCAGCAGUGGGGAAUAUUGCGCAAUGGACGAAAGUCUGACGCAGCGACGCCGCGUGUGGGAUGACGGUCUUCGGAUUGUAAACCACUGUCGGGAGGGACGAAUACGCCGCAAGGCGGGUGACGGUACCUCCAAAGGAAGCACCGGCUAACUCCGUGCCAGCCGCCGCCGUAAUAC
rnacentral:rRNA from 1 species